AUUGAACGCUGGCGGCAUGCUUUACACAUGCAAGUCGAGCGGUAACAGGCCUUCGGGUGCUGACGAGUGGCGAACGGGUGAGUAAUGCAUCGGAACGUACCCAGAGGUGGGGGAUAACGCAGCGAAAGCUGUGCUAAUACCGCAUGUGAUCUGAGGAUGAAAGCGGGGGACCGAGCAGCAAUGUUUGGCCUCGCGCCUUUGGAGCGGCCGAUGUCGGAUUAGCUAGUUGGUGGGGUAAAGGCCUACCAAGGCGACGAUCCGUAGCUGGUCUGAGAGGACGACCAGCCACACUGGGACUGAGACACGGCCCAGACUCCUACGGGAGGCAGCAGUGGGGAAUUUUGGACAAUGGGCGCAAGCCUGAUCCAGCAAUGCCGCGUGCGGGAAGAAGGCCUUCGGGCUGUAAACCGCUUUUGGCAGGAACGAAACGGUGUCCGCUAAUACCGGGCGCUAAUGACGGUACCUGCAGAAUAAGCACCGGCUAACUACGUG
rnacentral:rRNA from 1 species